rnacentral:rRNA from 1 species
UGAGGAAUAUUGCACAAUGGGCGCAAGCCUGAUGCAGCAACGCCGCGUGCGGGACGAAGGCCUUCGGGUCGUAAACCGCUUUUCUGGGGGAAGAGCAAGGACGGUACCUCAGGAAUAAGUCUCGGCUAACUACGUGCCAGCAGCCGCGGUAAAACGUAGGAGGCGAGCGUUAUCCGGAUUUACUGGGCGUAAAGCGCACGCAGGCGGCUCUGUUAGUCGGACGUGAAAGCUCUCGGCUUAACCGGGAGAGGCCGUUCGAUACUGCGGGGCUUGAGGUAGGGAGAGGAAUGCGGAAUUCCCGGUGUAGUGGUGGAAUGCGUAGAUGUCGGGAGGAACACCUGUGGCGAAAGCGGCAUUCUGGCCCUCACCUGACGCUGAGGUGCGAAAGCGUGGGUAGCAAACA